AUGAACGCUGGCGGCGUGCCUAAUACCUGCAAGUCGAGCGAACGGACGAGAAGCUUGCUUCUCUGAUGUUAGCGGCGGACGGGUGAGUAACACGUGGAUAACCUACCUAUAAGACUGGGAUAACUUCGGGAAACCGGAGCUAAUACCGGAUAAUAUUUUGAACCGCAUGGUUCAAAAGUGAAAGACGGUCUUGCUGUCACUUAUAGAUGGAUCCGCGCUGCAUUAGCUAGUUGGUAAGGUAACGGCUUACCAAGGCAACGAUGCAUAGCCGACCUGAGAGGGUGAUCGGCCACACUGGAACUGAGACACGGUCCAGACUCCUACGGGAGGCAGCAGUAGGGAAUCUUCCGCAAUGGGCGAAAGCCUGACGGAGCAACGCCGCGUGAGUGAUGAAGGUCUUCGGAUCGUAAAGCUCUGUUAUUAGGGAAGAACAUAUGUGUAAGUAACUGUGGACAUCUUGACGGUACCUAAUCAGAAAGCCACGGCUAACUACGUG
rnacentral:rRNA from 1 species